GAUUUCUGGCCUGAAACAUUUUGUCGGCCACGGUCUAUUUACCUUUCUUCAUUGAUUGGUAAGUGGUAUUGGAUCUUUUACUUUGAAAAAAUUAGAGUGUUUCAAGCAGGCUUUAUGCUAUGAAUACAUUAGCAUGGAAUAAUAAUUUAGGACUUCGGUUCUAUUUUGUUGGUUUCUAGGACUGAAGUAAUGAUUGAUAGGGAUAGUUGGGGGUGCUAGUAUUCAGCGGCCAGAGGUGAAAUUCUCGGAUUCGCUGAAGACUAACUUAUGCGAAAGCAUU
rnacentral:rRNA from 1 species